GUCCUCCUUAGAAGGCCCGGAAUUGCAGGAGAUUCAACCUGAAAAACGGUUAUCAUUUAGCAGAAAGGCAAACAGAAAAGCACACUUUGGUAAGCAAAACGUUAAUGAUUGGAAGAAUUGUCCUAAUUUCAUCAUGACAGUGUGUGAUUAAUCCCCUGGGUUAUGUACUUAUACUUGAAGUUAUUCAGUUCGUUGCUCUUUGAUAUCCAGAAUCCUACCUAACUUAAUAGGGUAUUGAUUUUGUUGGAUGGUGUACUUUGACUCCUUACACAACAUCACUUUUGAGGAUGACUAGCCUGUUGCGUACUAUCUUAUUUAGAGAACUAUUGCGUAAGAUUUCUCUUUUCUUUUUAUGGUUUUUCUCAGGGUGAAAGCUGAUAAGACAUCUUGUGGGAAAAGAGGAAACCAUCACUGAUAGUGAAAGUACCUAUUCGCUUUCAACAUUUCUGAGGAGCCCUUUCGUUUGUGGUUUCAUCCCUGAGACGAUGCAGCUUGGUUAAAAAUGUGGACAGAGCAGGGAUAUUCAAGAGGACUGCUUAGGUUCGGGGGAAGUGCCCUUAACUAGGGAUGGAAGCUACCCAAAUUCCCACCCUAGCCAUAGUGUCCUGUGAAAAUGGUUUCUCUUUAAAAUCCAGUCAUUUGUGAUCCUAUGCAUCUGUGACUAGAGGUAAUAUAUACCUCUCACAGGACAGAAUAUGGGACAUUAGCCACCCUGGAUGUUACCACAUGAUAAGGAUAAGAGCUUGUUAUCAUGGGGCCAGAAUAAUCACAUACCAUUCUAACAUACCUUUCAUCUUCUUGGUUUUGUUUUGAAACCCAAGUUGGAUUCUGUACGGGACUAGUCCAAGUUUGUUCCUGGAUUGUUUGUUUGUUUAUUGGUGUUGUUAAUCUAAAUAUGAAGCGCUUGGCAGGUUCCUUAUCAGAACUUCAAGGUCCACAGAACUGCAGCUUCCAAUCUGCCUGUACUAACUAGCUUAGAGAUGGGCAAGUGGAAGUCUCAUACCCCUCCCUAGCUGCCUGAAUUCUUGCCUCCAGCCCUUUGGGUAGCACUCAUGAGUGGAGGCAUCUGUACCUUGGAGCCUACUGAACGCCAUUGCCAGAAUGUCCAGGAUUCUCAGCUGCAGCCUGGAAUCUUCUGAAGCAGGACACACACAAAUCUCUCCAGGCUGAGCCGGCUGUGGGAAGGAGAAGUUGGAGCUGGUGCUUCCUGUCUGCAGAGGAUCAUGACUUUGGAGCGUCCGUCAGCCACUGUGAGGUUUUCAAGGCUGCAGAUGGUUUUCCUGUAUAGCUCUUAUCUUUCUUUUUCUUUUCUAGGAGAAGGAGGAGGCCAUGGAUAAUUUAGGGUGAUUUUUUUUUUCCAGAUUAAAACCUGUCAGGGCUGAUUUCCAUCAUGGAAAGUUUAUAUUCACUUGUGGAUUUUCUAACCCUUCUUUAGGAUUCCUUUUUAAUGUGAAAGAGUAGAUUGCUGCCACAAAAAUAAAAACAAACAAAUAAACAAACAAACAAAAAAAAACCCUUAAUAUAUGCAGAUGAACAAACCCAGAAGAAUUCGCACAGUAUCCAGGGUCCCCUCCCUUGCUUCUUAAGUACUUGUAUGCAGAGAGGCCUGUUGGGUUUGUCUCAAUCUUUUUGUUUGUUUGUUUUUUGAGACAGGGUUUCUCUGUUUAGUCCUGGCUGUUCCUGGAACUUAUUCUGUAGACCAGGCUGACCUCAAACUCAGAUCCACCUGCCUCUGCCUCUGCCUCUACCUCCUCUGCCGCCUCUGCCUCUGCCUCUGCCUCUGCCUCUGCCUCUGCCUCUG
rnacentral:lncRNA from 1 species